CCCUGGUUAGCUCAGUUGGUAGAGCACUCCACCUGUAAUGGAGAGGUCCCGGGUUCGAUACCCGGACCAGGCG
rfam:Ixodes scapularis strain Wikel colony gcontig_1108378657372, whole genome shotgun sequence.